AACGCAAGUUGCGCCCGAUGCCAUUAGGUUGAGGGCACGUCUGCCUGGGUGUCACAUAUUGAAGCCUCCUGCCAAUUUCCUUUUGACAGGUAUUGUGCAGGGUGGAUGUUGGCCUCCCGUGAGCUCUCUUUCGUCUCAUGGUUGGUUGAAAAUUGAGACCUUGGUAGGGUGUGCCAUGAUAAAUGGUGGUUGUGUGACCCACGAGACCAAUCAUGUGUUGCUCUAUUGAAUUUGGGCUCUUUUACCCAUUUGCGUUUCUAAACGCUCGUGAUGAGACCUCAGGUCAGGCGGGGCUACCCGCUGAAUUUAA
rnacentral:misc_RNA from 1 species